rnacentral:lncRNA from 1 species
GGAAACAACAGACACUGGGGUCCGCUUAAGGCGGGAGGGUGGGAGGAGAGAGAGGAGCAGAAAAGAUAACCAUUGGGUACUGAGCUGAAUACCUGGGUGAUGUCAUAAUAUGUAUAGCAAACCUGUUACUGUGGAAGUUAAAAUAUGCAACAAUAGCACAAGUUACCUAUGUAAUAAACCUUCACAUGUAUCCCUAAACCUAAAAUAAAGAUGAAAAACAGAAGAAACAUAAAAUGACACCAAGGCAUAUUAUAAUCAAAUUGCUUAAAACCAACGAUAAAGAGAAAAUCUGAAAAGCAGCCAGACAGAAAAAACACAUUAUACAGAGGAAAAGAAUACAGAUGUGAUGGCUGCAGCUCCUGCAGCCAUUUUGUAAGCACAAAGACAACAGCCAUACCCUAAAGAUGAAGGAGCAGAAAGCUAGGAAGUCCCGGGUCCCAGGAACCCAUGUCUCCAAAUGUCUCAUUACCUGAGAGAAAAAUAAACUCUUAACAUAUGC